rnacentral:tRNA from 4 species
GAGCCGGUAGCUCAGCUGGUAGAGCAACUGACUUUUAAUCAGUAGGUCCAGGGUUCGAACCCCUGCCGGCUCACCA